UCGAGAAUCUUCGGCAAUGGGCGCAAGCCUGACCGAGCGACGCCGCGUGCGGGAUGAAGGCCUUCGGGUUGUAAACCGCUGUCAGAGGGGAAGAAAUGCGCGUGGGUCAUCCCACGUGUUUGACUGAUCCUCAGAGGAAGUACGGGCUAAGUUCGUGCCAGCAGCCGCGGUAACACGAACCGUACGAACGUUAUUCGGAAUCACUGGGCUUAAAGAGUGCGUAGGCGGCUUUAAGGGUGGGGUGUGAAAGCCCACGGCUCAACCGUGGAACUGCGCCCCAAACCGUAAGGCUUGAGGGAGAUAGAGGUGAGCGGAACUGAUGGUGGAGCGGUGAAAUGCGUUGAUAUCAUCAGGAACACCAGCGGCGAAGGCGGCUCACUGGGUCUUUUCUGACGCUGAGGCACGAAAGCUAGGGGAGCGAACGGGAUUAGAUACCCGCGUAGUCC
rnacentral:rRNA from 1 species